GCACAAGCGGUGGAGCAUGUGGUUAAUUCGACGCAACGCGAAGAACCUUACCUGGGCUUGACAUCCCGAUCGUACCUGCUGGAAACAGCGGGGUCAGUUCGGCUGGAUCGGAGACAGGUGCUGCAUGGCUGUCGUCAGCUCGUGUCGUGAGAUGUUGGGUUAAGUCCCGCAACGAGCGCAACCCUUGUCCUUAGUUGCCAUCAUUUAGUUGGGCACUCUAAGGAGACUGCCGGUGUUAAACCGGAGGAAGGUGGGGAUGACGUCAAGUCCUCAUGGCCUUUAUGACCAGGGCUACACACGUACUACAAUGGCCGGUACAAAGGGCAGCCACUUAGCGAUAAGGAGCCAAUCCCGUAAAGCCGGUCUCAGUCCGGAUUGGAGUCUGCAACUCGACUCCAUGAAGUUGGAAUCGCUAGUAAUCGCAGAUCAGCACGCUGCGGUGAAUACGUUCCCGGGCCUU
rnacentral:rRNA from 1 species